rnacentral:rRNA from 1 species
CUUUUUGAUUUAAAUAUAAAGUAUAACCUGCCCAUUGAAAUUUUUAAAAGGCUGCGGUAUAUUGACCGUACAAAGGUAGCAUAAUCAUUAGUUUUUUAAUUGAGAACUUGUAUGAAUGGUUGAAUGAGAAAUUAACUUUUUUAAUAAAAAAAUUGAAUUUUACAUUUUAAUUAAAAGGUUAAAAUGUAUUUAAAAGACGAGAAGACCCUAUAGAGUUUUAUAAUUUAUACUUAAUAUUAAAAAAAAUUAAUAGAUAUUUUUAUUUAAAUCAUUAUUUUGUUGGGGUGAUGAUAAAAUUUAAUUAACUUUUAUUUUUUUUUACAUUAAUAUAUGGAAAAUUGAUCCACUAUUAGUGAUUAAAAGAUUAAAUUACCUUAGGGAUAACAGCGUAAUUUUUUUUUUAAGUUCAUAUUAAUAAAAAAUUUUGCGACCUCGAUGUUGGAUUAAGAUUUAAUUUUAGGUGCAGAAGUUUAAAAUUUAAGUCUGUUCGACUUUUAAAUUCUU